UAAAGCUCUUUUACCCGGGAUGAUAAUGACAGUACCGGGAGAAUAAGCCCCGGCUAACUCCGCGCCAGCAGCCGCGGUAAUACGGAGGGGGCUAGCGUUGUUCGGAAUUACUGGGCGUAAAGCGCACGUAGGCGGCUUUGUAAGUUAGAGGUGAAAGCCCAGGGCUUAACCCUGGAAUUGCCUUUAAGACUGCAUCGCUAGAAUCGUGGAGAGGUGAGUGGAAUUCCGAGUGUAGAGGUGAAAUUCGUAGAUAUUCGGAAGAACACCAGUGGCGAAGGCGACUCACUGGACACGUAUUGACGCUGAGGUGCGAGAGCGUGGGGAUCAAACAGGAUUAGAUACCCUGGUAGUCCACGCCGUAAACUAUGGACGCUAGCCGUUGGGUAGCUUGCUAUUCAGUGGCGCAGCUAACGCAUUAAGCGUCCCGCCUGGGGAGUACGGCCGCAAGGUUGAAACUCAAAGGAAUUGACGGGGGCCCGCACAAGCGGUGGAGCAUGUGGUUU
rnacentral:rRNA from 1 species